rnacentral:rRNA from 1 species
UACGUAGGGUGCGAGCGUUAAUCGGAAUUACUGGGCGUAAAGCGUGCGCAGGCGGUUAUGUAAGACAGAUGUGAAAUCCCCGGGCUCAACCUGGGAACUGCAUUUGUGACUGCAUAGCUAGAGUACGGUAGAGGGGGAUGGAAUUCCGCGUGUAGCAGUGAAAUGCGUAGAUAUGCGGAGGAACACCGGUGGCGAAGGCG